rnacentral:rRNA from 1 species
AUUGAACGCUGGCGGCAGGCCUAACACAUGCAAGUCGAACGGUAACAGGAAGAAGCUUGCUUCUUUGCUGACGAGUGGCGGACGGGUGAGUAAUGUCUGGGAAACUGCCUGAUGGAGGGGGAUAACUACUGGAAACGGUAGCUAAUACCGCAUAACGUCGCAAGACCAAAGAGGGGGACCUUCGGGCCUCUUGCCAUCGGAUGUGCCCAGAUGGGAUUAGCUAGUAGGUGGGGUAACGGCUCACCUAGGCGACGAUCCCUAGCUGGUCUGAGAGGAUGACCAGCCACACUGGAACUGAGACACGGUCCAGACUCCUACGGGAGGCAGCAGUGGGGAAUAUUGCACAAUGGGCGCAAGCCUGAUGCAGCCAUGCCGCGUGUAUGAAGAAGGCCUUCGGGUUGUAAAGCACUUUCAGCGGGGAGGAAGGGAGUAAAGUUAAUACCUUUACUCAUUGACGUUACCCGCAGAAGAAGCACCGGCUAACUCCGUG